rnacentral:rRNA from 1 species
AGAGUUUGAUCAUGGCUCAGGACGAACGCUGGCGGCGUGCUUAACACAUGCAAGUCGAACGGAAAGGCCCCUUCGGGGGUACUCGAGUGGCGAACGGGUGAGUAACACGUGGGUGAUCUGCCCUGCACUUUGGGAUAAGCCUGGGAAACUGGGUCUAAUACCGAAUAGGACCGCAUGCUUCAUGGUGUGUGGUGGAAAGCUUUUGCGGUGUGGGAUGGGCCCGCGGCCUAUCAGCUUGUUGGUGGGGUAAUGGCCUACCAAGGCGACGACGGGUAGCCGGCCUGAGAGGGUGUCCGGCCACACUGGGACUGAGAUACGGCCCAGACUCCUACGGGAGGCAGCAGUGGGGAAUAUUGCACAAUGGGCGCAAGCCUGAUGCAGCGACGCCGCGUGGGGGAUGACGGCCUUCGGGUUGUAAACCUCUUUCAGUGUCGGCGAAGCUCCAGGAUUUUUCUUGGGGUGACGGUAGGUACAGAAGAAGCACCGGCCAACUACGUGCCAGCAGCCGCGGUAAUACGUAGGGUGCGAGCGUUGUCCGGAAUUACUGGGCGUAAAGAGCUCGUAGGUGGUUUGUCACGUUGUCUGUGAAAACUCACAGCUUAACUGUGGGCGUGCGGGCGAUACGGGCAGACUGGAGUACUGUAGGGGAGACUGGAAUUCCUGGUGUAGCGGUGGAAUGCGCAGAUAUCAAGAGGAACACCGGUGGCGAAGGCGGGUCUCCGGGCAGUAACUGACGCUGAGGAGCGAAAGCGUGGGGAGCGAACAGGAUUAGAUACCCUGGUAGUCCAA